rnacentral:lncRNA from 1 species
AGCAGCUGGCCUGGAUGGAGCCCACAGUGGACGCCCUCUUCUACUCGUGCCAGAGAACUGAGGUGAGGGCCCUUCUGUCCUUCCUGUCUGCAGAGCUGGGGGCAUCUGGGGGUGAGGAGGUUGCCAUGGGCUGAGUGUUUCCCCCAAAUUCCAUGUUGACCCCUGCCCGCAGGGGACUGCACUGGGACGGACCCUCCCAGGAAGUGAUUAAGGUAAAAUGAAGGUAGGGCCCUGUCCAAUGGCUCUGUGUCCUCCGAAGAGACACCAGGGCUACUUCACUGCAACCACUCACCAAGGAAAGACCACGUGAGGACACGGAGAAGGGGGUCUUCUCUCAUCAGAAACUGACCCUGGUGGGGCUUGAUCUUGGACUUCUAAUCCCCACAUGGUGAGAAAUACAUCGUGCUGGUUCAGCUGCCCUGUGUGUGGUAUUCUGUUAAAGCAGCCCAGCUGACUAACCCAGGUGGGUGGUGGACGUGGGUGUUCAGAAAGACUGUCACAGCUAGCCACGCUUGUUGACUGGUGGCCUCGGCACCAGCUGACGAGAGCUCGGAUGGCCCUGUUCCCGCCCCUCUGAGCCCUGGCCCUGCCUUCAGUAGCCAGGGCCCGGCAUGUGCUGCCCUGCCUGGAUCCACUCAGCCUCUGGUUCCUGAUCCCAGAAGAGUCCAUGUGCACGCCCCCCAAGACUCCUGUGUGAACAGCAGUGAGCAGCGGCAGGUAGCCCUGAGCAUCUGGGUCAGCCAACGGGGCAAGUACAGGCUCAAGGCCAGUGUCCACUCACCCUCACCUAGCACUCACUCUGUUCUCGGCACUCUCUGUGCGUGAAGCCAUCGAGGAUCACAGGAACCCUGAGGGCUAACCCGCCAAGCUGCUGCUACCCUCCUUUUACAGAGGAGGAAAGCGCCUCAGCAGUGUGGCACGGCUGGUCCAAGGACAGCAGUAGCAAGGGCAGAGACAGCAUCCCGCCUGGGCCCGCGGGCCGGGUCCCCUGCCCAGCACGGUGCUGUCAGGCCAGGGUGGACAGGAGCUUCUGUAGCUCAAGCCCGGAGCCCAGUGAAGUACAAAGCAGGGACCUUCUCUGACCCCUGGGGAAAGUCUCCCGGGAGGUCAAGUCUGAGUGGUGACCUGAAGAUGGUACGGGUGGCUGGGCCAGGUGUCCUGGGGCGUCCUGUGGGAUGGGAGGACCCAGGUGCAGAGGCAGAGGCCCACGCCCUGGAGGGUCUGAGAACUGCGGAGGCUCUCAACAGGACCAGAAAGAUCACGUGGCUACCGCGUGAGGAGUGGGCUGGAGGCCUGGGAUCGGAGCCGCAGCUCGGCCACUGAGGCAGCCGCUGGAGGGAUGGCAGCGGGCCCUGAGCAGGUCUGCGGGCGGCUCUGACCCAGGCUUGGAGGCGACUGGGAAUCAUCUGGAAGCGUGGGAGCGGCUCCACCAGACCCUGAGGAAACCCAGUCCUGGUGAUAAGCACAGGCCUAUUUUAAUAUAAAAAAUCACAAUAAAAUAAAGCAG